ensembl:lncRNA
GAAAGGUGGCUUGUUUAUAUAAAUCCAGUAGAGAAUCAUUGAAUUAGAGGAAGCAAGACAAUGAUAAUACUGACUUCAUUAGCAAAUAGGCUCAAAUGCAGCAGCAACACAAAGGUAGACAAUGAAAUGAGAAGCUUCAAUACAUUACCUGAAACUGAAUGAAGUAAAAUAAAAAACAAUUUACUACAUGAAAGGUGUUAUUCAAGUCUUUAUUAGGAACUGCUAGAAAAUUUUACUUCAAUUCAGUGUGUUCUUCACAAACAUAUAUUGGGCGGUGAGAAGCUUUAGUUUGGUCAACUGCUAUUUAACAAUAGCCUCUGCACCCCAUCUGGCUGAGAAGUCAUAUGUCCUGCCCUUCUCUACAAACUGGUUUUCAGGAGGCGAGGUAAGGAGAACAAUUGAGAACAGGCCAAGUGACAACACACAAGUGACAAAAAAACAAACAAGAAUAAAUCCUCAAAUCACUUUACAGGGUGGUGCGGAACUUGUAAAUUACAAAGAAAAAAUCUUCACAUGAGCAAAUUAACCAUAUGAAAUUGCUCAACAUGGAUGUUUGCUGAAUAUAAUAUAACCUCAUAGACAAGUUACUUGGUAAGAAAAUGAAAGUUAAAAAACCUGUGUUGUCCAUAACAUGUUCAACACACUGAACCUCAAGCUGAUUCCUCAGCUGAUCCAAAUUAAAAAUGUAUGUACAUGGUGAAGCUUCCCUCAGGACUUCAAGAAAGAUCAAUAUUCAACCUAUAGAAUAGACCCAAUAACAUUUCUCCUCAAUUACCUUUUAACAUUUUAGCAAAAUUGCUGAAUUUCAACAUAGAUCAGCUCCGUAGCAUAUUCUGUAUCAUAUUCUUUAAACAGCAUGUCAAACUAAGAAUGUGCUCACAUAGGCUUAACAACAGACAAAUACUGAGGCACUAUUCAAUGCUUUUUUUAUAACUCCAUCUUCAUUCGGCAUACAAAAAUACGUUCCCACACAGAAAAGCUAAAAGAAUCAAGAAGGCAUGAAAUCCAAAUCACAUUUACAGGGUGAAAUCCAGUGUAUAAAACAAACACACAAAACACCUGCCCAUUUUAACCAACAUAAAGUGAAACUUAAGGAGUGGUUUUCAAACGUUUCCUGGGCACCCCAGCCAUUCCACGUAUUUGACGUACUGCAGGCCACCUCUGUAAACUCAUUAUCAGCUAUAUAAUUCAGGUUAGCUAGUUAAUUAUCAUCAUUUACUUUUCAUGCACAUUGCACAGCAAUGUAAAUGUUCAGCAAAUGUUACAGUUUUGACCAGUUUGCAUUUUUCAACUAGUCCCUAGUUCAGCGUUAAAAAGGAAUUGCGAGACAUCUGGGCGUCCUGAGGAGUGGUCGGAGAACGACUAGUGUAAAUGAAAUACAAAACACGUGUGGUAGCUAGAACCGGGGUGGUGCUGAAAAAGUCCACUGAAACGUGGCAGGCCCGUGGCCCCGGGCCACCUCUCUGUAACGAUCAUGGCUCGGGAGCGGGUAUGGGUCAGACGGGGCCGGGCCAUAACCUUCCACUUCACAGGGCCAAGGGUGGCGGGGUGAAGAAGCCGUCACAGACAGGGCCCGGGGAAACCCAUCAUAACCUGGUGUCUGAACGCCCCCAAUCUUCACGGGGAAAGGACCAGAGUCAAGAUGGGGUCUAGUCCCUGGGGCCAGAGCAUGAUGCGGGUACCGGAGGGGCUCGGGUCUGAACCGGUCAGGGUUAGAGUGAUUAGGGUGGGUCUCAUACUCACAUGGCCCGGUUCUGUAAGUAUCAGCGGUCAGCUGUGUGCCUUCAUAGUGCCAGGAUCUUCUGCACUCCAAGUGUACCUGUGACAUUGCUGCUAGGUCACUCAUAGGUCUACUUAUGACAUCAUUAUGACUGCUCAUGUCUGCUCUGUGGUAGACUGGCUCUGUCUGGUCUCUAUAGGUGGCUAUGCCAUGUUGGAGAUCUACUGUGUCAACCAUGCAAAGCCCUGAGGCACCGUUAUGAGCUCCUGUGAAACCCUGUGCCUGGUGCAGUUUUGGAGGCUGCAAUUUAAAGUACUGUUUUCUGUAAAAGUUCGAUUUCUCCCUCUUUCUUUUUUUCUUUUCACUUUUUCUUCCCCGUCUAUGGUUCCCCACCAUGACCUCUACAAUAAGUCCACAUCCUUUCUGCAUUUCAUCUCUGAAACCCUUUUCUUCCUCUAAAACCUCACAGUCAGUUAGCCCCACUCCUGAAGAGUACCCCCGUUCAGUUAGCCCCUCUCUUGAAGAGUACCCCCAUUCAGUUAGCCCCUCUCCUGAAGAGUACCCACGUUCAGUUAGCCCCACUCCUGAGUACCCCCGUUCAGUUAGCCCCUCUCCUGAAGAGUACCCCCGUUCAGUUAGCCCCUCUCCUGAAGAGUACCCCCGUUCAGUUAGCCCCACUCCUGAGUACCCCCGUUCAGUUAGCCCCACUCCUGAGUACCCCCGUUCAGUUAGCCCCUCUCCUGAAGAGUACCCACGUUCAGUUAGCCCCACUCCUGAGUACCCCCGUUCAGUUAGGCCCACUCCUGUAGAGUACCCCCGUUCAGUUAGCCCCACUCCUGAGUACCCCCGUUCAGUAAGCGCCACUCCAGUUGAGUACCCACGAUCAGACGUCGCUUCUGCUAUAAAGAACUGACUGUCAGUUGAUCUUUCUACUGUUUGGUACAUUCUGUCAAUUGACUUGCUUCCUGUGGAAUACCCACUGUCAGCUAUCCUCUCUCCAGUAGAAUACAGACAGUCUGUUGUCCUGUGGUCCUCUGCAAGCCUCUGUCCCCUAGCAGAAUGACAAAUAUUCCCUUUCACUUCCUCCUGUUCUUCAUCCAUUGGAGGACUGUUGGUCAAGCUCUCCUCUUCCACACAACCCGAGUGAUGACCAGUAGUAAGGAAAAUCGGUUGGGCAGCAGACACUAAGUCAGCGAUCGUAUCUCCAGCACCAGGGUCAGUACUGCGCAGUCUGUGGUCCUGUAUCACGCGGACACCGAACUUUGUAUCGGUGAAUCUGGUAUUCUUUGAAAACAGACGGUCAGCUCUGUCCUGAUCUCUCCCGAUGUACAGGCCGUGGUCAGUUGCCCUCUGUUCCUCUCCCCUAGUCAGCUGUUGAUUGUGUCUGGCUGUGUCGACUCUGGCAUUGACAGUGCGUUUAUAUUCAACUAUCUGUGUGUUUCCAGGUCCCGUUGCAGCUCUGUUUCUUGGCUGACCAACUGAAUGCAAGGAUGUGGAAGGGGGCUGGGGCGAGGCACCUACGCUGGUUGAGUGAACGGGUGAGUGUAUGGGGGAGGCGGGGGAGGCGGGGGAGGGUUCCAGGCUAAAGGAAUUCCUCUCCAGCAGCAGGGGGCCAUCAGUCAAAGGCAGACUCACCUUGAACACCGGCUCACAACGAAUAAGCUUCGCAGGAACUCCGUCUUGUCCAAACCCCUCCCCCACAGACCCGCCCGGUAACACCUGACCUCCGUCUGUGACGUCAUCAUGGAUCAGGGAAAGACCGUUGUCGUGCGGCCAUGGUAAGGCUGAUGCAGGACGCUUUACUGAAGCACCUUUGGUGGAAGAAAAACAGGAGGGAGAGCGACAGAGCAAGAGAGAGAGCGAGGGAGGACACACUCACAGAGUAGAGUGAUAAAUGUCAGGUAAGAGUGAGAUAUUAACACUACAGUUCCCAAGCUAAGGGCAAAAUUAACGACUCAUCCACAUAACAACAACAACAACUGUAGCAAUGUGUGUAAAAGGAUGAUUUGGCGCUAAAAGAGGACGCAACGCAUAGAAUCGGAGUCCAACAAAACUGUGUCUCUCACACUUGAUACCCCAACCCAGACUUAACACACUUGUAAUAAAUAAAGACAGUAUAUCAUCCCACGAGGUCAUACACUCACCAAGCAGGGGGUUGCUUCUGUGGACAAACCCUCCCCUCUGGCUGUCAAUUUGGACAGCAGCCUUCUCCAGCUGGACCGGGAGCCUCCCGGGGGAUAUCACAGUUCUCUGUGACGGGACGAGUGAACACUCAGAACCGGCUAAAGCCUCCUCCGAUUGGCCCUGGGUCACCGUCCGCUUUUGUUCGGUCUUGAUAGCACGCAACAGGAUGAGAACUUGAGGAGAGAGGAAGAGGUGAAGGAGUGAAAGGGAAUGAGAGGAGAGGGUGAUGAAGGGUGAUUUGGUGAUACAGGAUAGACAGAGGAGAGGUGAGAGGAGAGGAUGGACCAGUAAUACCCAUUCUCACCAUCACUCUCACUGUGGGCUGUGACCUCCUCAAACAUAGCAGCAUCCAACCUCAGCACCUAACAGGACAGGACAGAGGACAUUUUCACCCAGACACACACACAGACAUACGCCAAACAUAAAGAAACAUAUGCAGACCUGCACGUCCCCGGUUCCUUCCUUGUUCUCCAGUAUUUGAGCCAUCUCCAUAAGAGGCCGAGCCAUCUUGGACAGCUCAGUGCUCUGCUUCCACUCAGACACAAAGUGAGGGUGAUGGAUUUUCUAUGCAACCACAGCCAACAAACAGAGGAUGCACACAUAUUAGCUUGAAUAAGUAUUUGUUGUACGCAUGCUGCUGUAUUAGGCUAGUCAGUGAUUGUGUACUGACUUGUGCUUACAUUGUACAGGUAAAUCACUGCCUGUAUGACAACAGUCUAUAGACCACGCCAAAGCUGGUCUUUUUUUAAGCUGGAACCCCCGCCCCAAAACCUUGUAUACCAUUGGUUUCCAACUCCACCCUAAACAGUAACACUUUUUUACCCCACCAGCCUCAGACAAGAGCAAAAGAUAAGACCAUGUCUCUGCCCCAGGUUACUUGGCUAUGCAUAAAGUUUACUCAUGCGUUUCCUUUGCCGAAAAACAUUAUUACACACUGGAUUUGUUUCUUAAGCAAGAUGGGAAAGGGGGCUUAGAGGAAUGCAACAAAAACAAAAAACUGCUGUGGAGCAGUUCAUGUAAACUUGACUGAAAGUCCAGAACAUACACUCACCUAAAGGAUUAUUAGGAACACCAUACUAAUACUGUGUUUGACCCCCUUUCGCCUUCAGAACUGCCUUAAUUCUACGUGGCAUUGAUUCAACAAGGUGCUGAAAGCAUUCUUUAGAAAUGUUGGCCCAUAUUGAUAGGAUAGCAUCUUGCAGUUGAUGGAGAUUUGUGGGAUGCACAUCCAGGGCACGAAGCUCCCGUUCCACCACAUCCCAUGCUCUAUUGGGUUGAGAUCUGGUGACUGUGGGGGCCAUUUCAGUACAGUGAACUCAUUGUCAUGUUCAAGAAACCAAUUUGAAAUGAUUCGAGCUUUGUGACAUGGUGCAUUAUCCUGCUGGAAGUAGCCAUCAGAGGAUGGGUACAUGGUGGUCAUUUAAGGGAUGGACAUGGUAAGAAACAAUGCUCAGGUAGGCUGUGGCAUUUAAACGAUGCCCAAUUGGCACUAAGGGGCCUAAAGUGUGCCAAGAAAACAUCCCCCACACCAUUACACCACCACCACCAGCCUGCACAGUGGUAACAAGGCAUGAUGGAUCCAUGUUCUCAUUCUGUUUAUGCCAAAUUCUGACUCUACCAUCUGAAUGUCUCAACAGAAAUCGAGACUCAUCAGACCAGGCAACAUUCUUC